GCUGACUGUCUUUUCGGACUCAGCCCACCUGCACCCAGGUGAAAUAAACAGCUUUAUUGCUCACACAAAGCCUGUUUGGUGGUCUCUUCACAUGGAUGGGUAUGAAAUUUGGUGCCGUGACUCGGAUCGGGGGACCUCCCUUGGGAGAUCAAUCCCCCGUCCUCCUGCUCUUUGCUCCGUGAGAAAGAUCCACCUACGACCUCAGGUCCUCAGACGGACCAGACCAAGAAACAUCUCACCAAUUUCAAAUCUGAUGAACAGGAAAGAGUUUUUUCUCUAGCCCAAUCUCAUGCUGAUAACCACCGGCUUCAUGAGCCAGACCUCCAGGAAGGCAUUAGAGCAGUUCCCUGAGAGGAUCCCCAAUGGAACCACCAGGCAAAUUUCCCAGGGACCCACUGGAAAUCAGACUGCCCAGCUCGCCCGGGAGCCACUCCUAGAGCCCCUAAAGCUCUAGCCCAAGGCUCUCUGACUGACUCCUUCCCAGAUCUGCUUGGCUUAGUGACUGAAGAUUGACGCUGCCCGAUCGCCUCGGAAGCCCCCUGGACCAUCACAGAUGCCGAGCUUUGGGUAACUCUCACAGUGGAGGAUCCCCAGCCAUAUGAAGACACCCUAGCUGUACGAUCAGUUCUUGUUAAGAAUCUGACCCCUCAAACUCUACAACCUCGAUGAGCCGGAUCCUACUUAGUCAUCUAUAGUACCCCGACUGCCGUCCGCCUGCAGGAUCCUCCCCACUUGGUUCACCGUUCCAGAAUAAAGCUGUGUCCAUCGGA